AGUGAACGCUGGCGGUAGGCCUAACACAUGCAAGUCGAACGGCAGCACAGUAAGAGCUUGCUCUUACGGGUGGCGAGUGGCGGACGGGUGAGGAAUACAUCGGAAUCUACUUUUUCGUGGGGGAUAACGUAGGGAAACUUACGCUAAUACCGCAUACGACCUACGGGUGAAAGCAGGGGAUCUUCGGACCUUGCGCGAUUGAAUGAGCCGAUGUCGGAUUAGCUAGUUGGCGGGGUAAGGGCCCACCAAGGCGACGAUCCGUAGCUGGUCUGAGAGGAUGAUCAGCCACACUGGAACUGAGACACGGUCCAGACUCCUACGGGCGGCAGCAGUGGGGAAUAUUGGACCAUGGGCGCAAGCCUGAUCCAGCCAUACCGCGUGGGUGAAGAAGGCCUUCGGGUUGUAAAGCCCUUUUGUUGGGAAAGAAAAGCAGCAGGUUAAUCCCCCGCUGUUCUGACGGUACCCAAAGAAUAAGCACCGGCUAACUUCGUG
rnacentral:rRNA from 1 species